UGGGGAAUUUUGCACAAUGGGGGAAACCCUGAUGCAGCGACGCCGCGUGAUUUAGAAGGCCUUCGGGUUGUAAAAAUCUUUUCUAUGGGAAGAAAAUGACAGUACCAUAGGAAUAAGGACCGGCUAAUUACGUGCCAGCAGCCGCGGUAAUACGUAAGGUCCGAGCGUUGUCCGGAAUCAUUAGGCGUAAAGGGUACGUAGGCGGGUAAGCAAGUUAGAAGUGAAAUCCUAUAGCUCAACUAUAGUAAGCUUUUAAAACUGCUCAUCUUGAGGUAUGGAAGGGAAAGUGGAAUUCCUAGUGUAGCGGUGAAAUGCGCAGAUAUUAGGAGGAAUACCGGUGGCGAAGGCGACUUUCUGGCCAUAACCUGACGCUGAGGUACGAAAGCGUGGGUAGCAAACAGG
rnacentral:rRNA from 1 species